GUGAAGGCAGGCAAGGGGGCUGGAGGAAAAGGAAGGGUGGGUUCAGGAAGCACUGAGAAGGCGAGCUGACCUGGAUGACAGAUGGAUGGGGCAGUGGAGAGGGGGGCUUUUCUGGAGGCAGAACUCAGAAGGAGUUUGGGGUGCAAGAUGCUUGUUAGGGGCCAACCUCUGUGGAAAGCUGAGGGAGGCUGCAGGAUGGCCAGAGGGGAGAAGUGGGACUGUGUGAAGCCUCACACACCCCAGCCUGGGGGGAGCCCCCCUUCAGUGUCCCCCUUGUUCCCUCGUCCCUCUCUCCUCACUCUCUCAGCUGCCCCAGAAGCAUGGCCUCCAGCCAAGCAGCCCCUGCAGCUCAGCCAAAGGAGUGGGCCAUGGAGAGGGCCUGCAGCCGCACUCCGCAGGGGCAGGAGGCCUCUGUGGAGGAGCUCAGGCAGGGCCCUCUGCAUCUCCCGCGUAGAGGGGUGCAGAGCAAAGGCCCUCUUCUGACUUGGACGGUGAGGCUGAGUGAGUCUCAUCCGUCAGGAUGAGGAGCAUAGGUGGCCGGAGGGGAGAGGAGGGUUCUGAAGGCAGGUGAGCGCUGGCACAUCCACGGAGAGCUGUCCAGUGCUGAGGGGCAGGCAGGGCUGGAGUUUGGAACCUGAAAGUCAUCGGGUGCCUGUGACGUUGAGCCAUUCAGUGGCUGGUGCACACUUAGGAAGGAAGAGCCAGCAACAGGGACGGAUCCCUAGGACACGCCAGACCUCCCAGACGGGAGCUAAGAAGAGCUGGUCAGGAGUGGGAGGACACAUACGGAAACCUGGUCUGGUGGAUGCCGUGUGUCUUAGUCAGCUCAGGCAGCUUUAACACGACACCACAAUGGGCAGCUUUAACAACAGACAACUAUUUCUCACAGUGCUGGAGACUGGAAGUCCUUGAUCAAGGCUCCAGAAGAUUUGAUGUCUGCACAGAGGCAUCAAUAUGCAGGCGGCUGGUACCCAGAAGGGCCUUUGCUGUCUCAGAGGCACUUAGCGAGGCUGAGACCACAAAACCUGUAUGUUUUCGAAUGCAGCUACCAGCAGCCAUGCUGUGCGCAGUGGUUCUCAGAUUCGAGGACCCCUGGCGGACUUGUCAUAACACAGAUCGCUGGCUCCACCUGGAGUUUCUGACUCAGUGGAUGUGGGCGGCUCCCGGGUGGCCACGAUGCUGCCCAGUUGUAGACACAGCCUGCUGACCACUCGGCAGCUGUGCCAGCUGAUGAUCCCACCCUGAAAACUAAACGCUGGACACGCUCCCACUGCAAGACACAACAGACUGAAAUGGUUCCAUCUGCUGCUACCUGGGGACAGCCAGAUGGUUGACCUCAAGAGUGGAGUUCCCGAUGCUGGCUGCAGACACUGGAAACCCCAAGAACCUCCUACUCAAGGAAGUCGGACGUUUAAACCAAGAACCCCAAAAUAAUAAUAGUGGCUAAAAAGACGUGUCAGGUAGUUUUCUAAGUCCUUUAAAUGUGCUUUCACCUUCAUAAGUGCCCUAACGAUGUAGGCACUAUCAUUGCCUCUGUUUUAUAGGUGGGGAAACUGAGGCACAGAGGGGUUAAGUAAUAGGUUCACAGUCACAGGCUAGUUAGGACAGAGCCAGGCUUUGCCUUCAGCCCCACUCACCGGCCAGGCUGUUGACGACUGACCCUACAGGAACCCAAGGACGAAGGAGUGAAGGUCAGGGGCUGGCAUAGGAGUCUUGCUUGAACAUCUGUUUAAAAGUUGUGGGACCCCAGGGGCUGGCCCCGUGGUGUGAUGGUUAAGUUUGGCACUCUCCACUUCGGCAGCCCAGGUUCGCAGGUUUGGAUCCCAGGCGCAGACCUACACCACUCAUCAGCCAUGUUAUGGUGUCAACCCACAUACAAAAUGGAGGAAGACUGGCACAGAUGACAGAUCACGGCUAAUCUUCCUCAGCAAAAAGAGGAGGAUUGGCGACAGAUGUUAGCUCAGGGCCCAUCUUCCUCAACAACAAUAACAAAAUGUAGUAGGGCCCCAGAUCCCCUUCCCAAGCCUGCACGUCCAAGCUACAGUUUGCUGCCUGCCUGCAGAAAACAGGCUGGUUUUGUUCUGGAGUAGGUGGGAGGGAGGCAUCUGUCCUGGGACCCCAGCACCACUAAGAGUGAGGGCACCCUGGGAGAAGGGUCUGGCAAAGGCGCCCGUAAUGAGUCCACCACAAAGGCCUGCUGCUCCUCCCCACCCUGCCCCAUCCUGGCUGGAUGGCGCUGGCUUCUUCCCUGGGAACUGAGCAGCCCAAGCACACAAUGCUGACAGGUCACUGUGUGGCGGGCUGAACACUGACACCUGCAGUGCACCACCCCACUGGGUGCUGGACACAGGCAGACAGGCAGAGAGCACAAGACACCUGGGGAAACUUCUAACGUGAACUAUAGAGAUCGAAACAAGCAGAAAAAAAGCCACUUGGAGGAAAGAGACUAUGAAGAGAGAAGAAAACACAAAAGACAAAAACUACUAAAAAUUGGCUCAGAAAGAUACAAUUUGCAUCUGCGAAACAAGACAAGAUGCCAAAAAAGAAAGAAAGGGAGGGAGGAAAGGAAAAGAAAAUAACAUUAAAAGAAUAAAAAGAAACUUUUGAUAAAUAAAACCUGAGAGGAAUUUAAAAAUCAAUUCCAUAGAAGGGUAUGAAUGAUUUAUUGGACAAGAAAAUUGAGGAAAUCUAGACAUCAAAGCAAAAUUGCAAAGUUAUGGAAAAUAGGAGGGAAAAAAUAAGACAUUAGACGACCAGACCAGAGGAUCCAUCAUCCAAAUUAUAGGAGCUGCAGGAAGGAAAGAGGAAGGGAGGAGGGGAGGAAGCAAUCAAUGAAACAAUGCAGCAAAGUGUCCCAGACUGACCAGGUGCCCAACACAGUCAGAGAAGGCACUUGAAGAUUUGGAGAUCAAGAGGCCAUUUUGUGUGGGAAAACCUCAGCAGGAAAGAGAGAGAGUGAGAAGCAGGUCACAUAUAAAGGGUCAGGAGCCAGGAACACUGGAAGCUAGACUUCUCCAGAGCAAUGCCCUCAAAAUUGUGACGGGAAAGGAUUUCCAACCUAGACUUUUAUACUCAGCCAAACAGUCAACUAAGGGUGAAGGCAGAACAAAGAUGGCUUGAGAUAUUCACAGUCUCAAAAACUUCUCAUCUUUUCUCAGGAGCUACUGUGAGAUGUGCUCCCCCUACCCUACAGGGCGUACACCUAAAAGAGGAUGGCAUGGGCUGCAGGAAACUGGACCCAACCCAAGAUCGAGGGAAGAGGAAAGUUCAGGAUGGUGGUCCCAAGAUGGCCCUGCAGGAGCAGGCAGAGAGGACAUCUCAGGAAUGUGACAUUGGACUCCUGGUGGGCCCGACAGGUUCUACUUAUAAGUCCAAAGGAUACUAAGCAAAGAAAAAGGCAACCUUCCAACUCCAAGGACUAUAAGGAAUUGGGGCAGGACAGGAAGAAUGAAUUCAGCACACUAUGUGGCUCAGUUCUCUGUGACAUUUGCUCAAUCAGAAUAAUGUAAAUACUGAAUGUUAAUCUAACCCAAACAUACUCUAACGUGCUGGGAGAAUUGACGGCUCGGAGGCGCAUGGUGGCAUGGAUGUAUUAUAGACUCCUAAGAGCCAAUUGAUUCCAAGGAAUAAUCGAAACUCAUUGCUGCUGGGCUGUGGGACAUAGGAAGAGAAAGGCCGGGAGGGGAUGUUGCCUGUCUCCUGAUGUGCCUCGGAGAACUGGGGGACCCUCCAGAUGAUGUGCACACGGAACUUCAGCCUGAGGUGUGUAGAUCGAGCGUUGCAAUCAGAAACCCCACCAGGAAAACAUUUUAUUCUCCCUUAAGCCUCUGAUUUUUGACAAUUUUGUAUCUUUGUGGUUCCACCAGGAGGAACUGGCUGCAAAAUGUAUUUCAGGUAUCUAAGUGGAUUGACCUGCUGGAUUAAAUUUCUUAAGGUUGUUGGUCUGCAUGGUGGGAAACUGCCAUGAUUGACAGCUGGUCUCACCCCUUCACACUGAGUGGUCCUGCCAGUCCGCAGACCUUCAGUUUGACUGAUCUUUGGCCACUUCUGCUGGCAGCGAUGGAAGCCUAUCCAUCUGCUAAGCAAGAGGGCAUGCAGCUCACUCAAACGAAAAUUUCAUCCAGUGGGAAUGCAGAACAGGACAGUCACUUUGGGAAACAGUUUGGCAGUUUCUCAAAGGUUAAACGUAGACUUUCUCAUGCACCCAGCAAUUCCACUCCUUGGUACCUACCCAAGAAAAAGGAAAACAUAUGUCCACAAAAGACUUGUGCACAAGUGUUCACAGCAUCAUUAUUCAUCACAGCCAAACAGUGGAAACAACCCAGUGUCCAUCAACUGGUGGGUGGAAUACUACUCUGCAAUAAAAAGGAACAAGCUAUUGACACAUGUUGCAAAAUGGAUGAACCCAAAACCGUUAUGCUGAGAGACAGAAGUCAGACACAGCAGACCACUAGUAUGAUUCCAUUUAUAUGAAAUGUUCUGACACAGCAAAUCAAUUGAGGCAGAAAGCGGAUCACCGGACGCCUGGGGCUUGGGUGGCGGGGAGGGACUGGGGAUUGACUAUAAAAUAAAAGGGCACAGGGAACUUUUUGGGUGAUAGAAAUGUUUUAGAACUGUAUUGUGGUGAUGGCUAAAUAAUCC
rnacentral:lncRNA from 1 species